UGGUACGUAGUUUGAUCAUGGCUACGAGGACGAACGCUGGCGGCGUGCCUAACACAUGCAAGUCGAACGGGGUGAUUCCUUCGGGAGAUCACUUAGUGGCGAACGGGUGAGUAACGCGUGAGAAACCUGCCUUUCAGUGGGGGACAACAGUUGGAAACGACUGCUAAUACCGCAUAACGUAUUUUUAGGGCAUCCUUUAAAUACCAAAGCUUUAUGUGCUGAAAGAUGGUCUCGCGUCUGAUUAGCUAGAUGGCGGGGUAACGGCCCACCAUGGCGACGAUCAGUAGCCGGUCUGAGGGGAUGAACGGCCACAUUGGGACUGAGAUACGGCCCAGACUCCUACGGGAGGCAGCAGUGGGGAAUAUUGGGCAAUGGGGGAAACCCUGACCCAGCAACGCCGCGUGAAGGAAGAAGGCCUUCGGGUUGUAAACUUCUUUUACCAGGGACGAAGAACGUGACGGUACCUGGAGAAAAAGCAACGGCUAACUACGUG
rnacentral:rRNA from 1 species